GGUAGGACUACCCGCUGAACUUAAGCAUAUCAUA
rnacentral:rRNA from 3 species